CCCUUCGUAGCCAUAAAGCUUUAGGUAGGAGUGAAGAACAGACAUGUGAAUGAAGAACAACCUGCAAAUCAAAUCACAAGAGAUUCAAAAAUAUGGGGAGGGAGAAACCCACUCUUAAGCAAGGGAAGAGGAAGCCAUCCCACCCAAAUGAGACAAAGGAAAGCCGCCCUCGACAAUGGGAAGGCUGAAAACCUCACCAAAAGACGAGUUGAUAGGAAAUUCUCUCUUUCUAAAGAGAGAGAGAGAGAUUAGAACCUAGUAGGCAGGCUAAUUUACGUUAGGACAGAAUUUUAGGCAUCUUUUAAAUAAUUAGCCUGGCAAGUUGGCUAUCAUUCUCCAGUUGGGUGGACAGACGAAAAUUGAAAUCUCAACCACUUUUAAUUUGCCAUUUGUAGAGCACUGAUCACUGAUAUGGAUCAGGGAAAAAGGCAUGAUCCCAAAAG
rnacentral:misc_RNA from 1 species